ensembl:lncRNA
CGGUGCUCAGAGCACCCAGCACAGCUCAGUGCCACCUCUCAGCAGCUCUGUCUGUGCAUUGGUGCCAAUAACCUGCCCAGCAGUGGCGUGAGCACAGAGGCACAUAAAGCCCACGUAUGUAAUUAAGGUGGCAAGAAGCAUUUCGUUAAUUAACGGCUAUUAUUUGUUAAUAUCAAGCCUUAAGUGCAAAGCUCAACUCUAGCUGUGAAGCAAUAAGCACAGCCUGAGCAACAACAGUAACUAGCCAACAAAGUAACUGGGUCGUUAUUUCCACGAUAUCUUAAAAGUUUAACAAGAUUUUCUUGUUUUAAACAUUCACAUUCCAGAGCGUGGAGGGGAAAGCACUGCCUGCACGGAGGGAACGAUGUAAAAAUCCUUGGAAACAGAGCAGGGCUGCAGGUGAUGGGCUUUAUUUUGCCAAAUUCUGAGCCGUCAUUUGCUGCCAGCAGUCCCACCUCUUCCAUCCAGGAGCUGGUGACGUCGAUGGAGCUGCAGAUCGGAAGCUGUUCCCUGGAUGAGGUGGGCCGCCUGCUGCCCUCACCACGCUCUUCCCACCCCACUGCUGCCCGCCCUGAGGUCUGCUCCAGCGCAGGGAGGUCUGGCACUCUUGAACCUGAGGUCAAAAACAAGAGGGAGGAAAAGAAUGGCCUUCAGGCCAGAGGAAGAAACCAGGGCAACCAGGCUCUUAACGUGAUAAAAGGGCUUUAUCUCAAAGCACUUAAACAAAACACACAAGCCUGAGAGAAGAGGCUCUGUCAAGUAUCCGCCCGGGACAUGGGGAAAUUGCAAAUCCCUGCAGGACAGAGGGGCUCUUUCUUCAGUGUGCAGAGCCUGGAGAUGGGGCUGGGCAGGUGAGGGGUGCUGGGGAAGGGGUGCAUGGGGGAUUUCCCGUUUGCAGUGGUGCAUGGGCACGGAUCAGACUGUGAGCAGCUGUUAGAGAGCAGAUCACGGGCACGGGGAGUGGGCAGCAGUGCUGGAGAGGGGCAGGAGAGAAUGGGAGAUGGGACAUGCAGCAGCAGGUGGGCACGGUCCCAUCCCCUGUAUGUGGGGAGUCAGUGUAAAUCAGUGCCACCUCUGCGCUUGGUGGGUGGAUGGGUGCAGUUUGCAGGAGUUGGAUGGGUGUCGUUUACAGGAGCUGGAGGGGAGGCUUGGUUCUUGCUGGCCCCUUACAGAACGCUGCAGGGAGGAUUGUGCCAUGGAGAGGUCUCUGGGUUGUUCGCAGAUGCAUGGGCAGGGAGCUGCACACACCAUCCCGGGUCUCUGGGCUGCAGGUCCCAGCCCAUCCCCAGCCAAUCUGCUUUCCCAAGGGGCUGAGGCAGCUGUGCUUGUGGUACCUGCUCCAAAGGGACGGGCUGUUCGCUUUGGCUCAUCUUGUCCCUCAUCCCUUUGGGGCUCAGCCCCGUCCCUCCCCAUUUCUCUGUGACACACGAUGCUUCGUGCCAGCAAUCCCUGCCUAUGAGGAGAAGCCCUGCCCUGCCUGGGCGCUGCUCUCCCUCUGGCUCCUUGUUCUUCAGCCUUUGUUUGGUACACGUUCUUGUCCCCUAUGGAUGCCCAUAGUGUCCUUUCCCUUCCAUGGCUCAGUGAGGACCAUGAGGAGCUCCCAGCCAUGAAUUUCCCCCACACACCACUGCCAGGCUGUUAUUGCUGUGCGCUCCCUCCUGACUCCAUCUGUCUGCAUGGUGCUACUGCUCCGUGCCAGGAGGGCUCCGGGACCGCUGGGGUCACGGCUGCCCCAUUACGGGGCGAGAUUUAUCAUUGGCAGGUGUGCUGCGGGAUGGUAUAUUAUCCAGGAUUAUGAACUGUAACAGGAUAAUCUCUCUAAUGUAAUUCAAGCUCUCGACAUGGCUUAUGGCUCCUUAAUGUACCUCAGACUGAAGAAUUACAAGAACAUUUUCCCCCCUCCCUACCUUGUCAGCUCCUAAAUGAUUUAGGCAAUCGCCUGAAGCCAGAUCUUGGCCUCCAGUCAUAACUCAGAGCAGUUCAGUAAAUAUGAUGGGGAAGGAGUUUUCCUGCCUUGGCUCUUUCUUCCUUCCGCUGCGCUCAGCCCUCGCGGUGCUGCUGCUCUGCUCCCUGUGGAGCAUUCAGGAUGGACCCAAAGUUGGGCUGGUGGGCGCAGGGAUGCUCUGCAGGGGGAUCAUGCCUUGGUUUCAGACCACGGGGUUGUGCCCAUUUCAGCAUCACCUCUCUUUUUGAGUAAUGCAGCAAUUAGUGGUUUGGUAACACAUCAACCAAUGUGUGUCCAGCUUUGCUUUGUACCCCCGCUGAGCCAAGAGGAACAUUGCCCAUCUUCAUCUAAUUGGCUUUUAAUUCUGGUCAUUGCUUUGACCUUAAAGAUGUGGUUUGUGGGGCCGAUUUUGGAGCAGGUUCAUCCCCACAUGGGCACCAAAAGGGUGAGCAGUGAUGGCCACCACCCCAGGGUCCCACAGCGACCAACUGGCCUCAGUCCAGCCCCCAUGAGCCCAAUGACAAAUAAACCUCGUAAAAGGAGAGGAAAAAGAGGGAGAAAAGCGGAGAUUAAGAACAGGAACUGCAGGGAUAUGGCUUCCACUCGGCGACUGACUUAAAAUAAACAUCAGAUAUGCAGAGCAGGGCUGGGAGCCUUCCAUGGCAUGGGGGAAAAAGUAAUGCAGGGAAAUGUGUGUGUCCUUUAGCACGGCCGGUUAUGGGCCUGGUUACCUGGUGCUAACGUGAGUGUGGCAGAGGUGUGAUGUGCCGAGUGGCUGCAGGGGAAGGAAAAGGGGAAUGCGUGGGAAUGUGGAAGGUGCUGGGGAGUGUGGAGCAGCCAGGAGCGCUCAUCCCUGCCCCAACCCCGGCUCUGCGGGGAUGAAAAACAGAGGGAUGGAAAGCAAAGGGAUGGAAAGCAAAGGGAUGGAGAGGGGGAGAUGGGCUCAGGAGGCACCCGGCUGUGGUGGGCACGGAGGCCCCGGAGCUGCAGGUGCCCCAGCAGAGCCCACAGCAGAGGCAGCAGCAGAGCAUCCCCAUCCCCUGGAAGCGCAGUGCAGAGCGGAGCUGGAGCGUGACGGCAGCCCAUGGCAGGGCUCCGGCCGGCCCCAGGCAGCUGUAUUUACUGUUGCUAUUUGUUGUCGCCCUGGCAGCCUCCGCAAUGUGAAUUUUCUGUGUCACUGGCUGAGAGGAUUCCAGGCAGGUUUUUGAUAAUGUGGGGUUGGUUUUGUAAAGCAGGGAGGGAGAGGGGAAAAGGAGCCACGGGCUACAAACAGCUCGGCCCGGAGCUUUUAACUCUUUCGCCGCUGAAUGUGCCUGACUGCUGCGGACGGAGCAGCAGAGCUGUGCUGGAGGUCCCUUCCCCACCACUGCUCGGGGGUCCCGCACCGAUCCCCCCCGUGCCUCAGUUUCCCUUCCUGCAAAAAGGGAGGAACGUGUGGGCACGGUGCGGUGCCCGCAGUGCCGCAUCCAUGGGGCAGCUGAAGUGCCCACCUGGCAGUGCCCCACGCUCAGCUUCUUCCACCUGGGAGCUGCAGGGUUUGAUCUCUCCAGAAGCAAAACCAGAAUCCACACGCAGUCGAGGUCUCCUCUUUUGUUUUCAGGCAGACAGAGCAGCAGUGCCCGUCCCCUCCCAGUGCUGCUGCUGGGAGCACCAACACCGGGAUCUGCUGUUUCUUCCUUUCUCUCUUUCUUCUUUCCUUUCUGUCUGGCUGUGCGCUUUGGGUAAUUAGCGUAUCAUGGAGAGAUGGUGUGGUGGGACAGGAAGGAAAAGCUGUUUGCACAGCAGAGUAACUGGCAGAGCAUCUUCAGACCUGUCUGUGCUUCCCAGGUGGCACCUCCGGCUUAACCGCUUCCUUGCUG